rfam:Chaetura pelagica isolate M959 contig6209, whole genome shotgun sequence.
UAGGUGGAGGCCUGCUGGUUUGGGCACCUAGCUGUUAACUAGGAGGUUGUGGGAUCGAGGCUCACCUGUUUAG